GUGGGGAAUAUUGGACAAUGGGGGGAACCCUGAUCCAGCCAUGCCGCGUGUGUGAAGAAGGCCUUUUGGUUGUAAAGCACUUUAAGCGAGGAGGAGGCUACCGAGAUUAAUACUCUUGGAUAGUGGACGUUACUCGCAGAAUAAGCACCGGCUAACUCUGUGCCAGCAGCCGCGGUAAUACAGAGGGUGCAAGCGUUAAUCGGAUUUACUGGGCGUAAAGCGCGCGUAGGUGGCCAAUUAAGUCAAAUGUGAAAUCCCCGAGCUUAACUUGGGAAUUGCAUUCGAUACUGGUUGGCUAGAGUAUGGGAGAGGAUGGUAGAAUUCCGGGUGUAGCGGUGAAAUGCGUAGAGAUCUGGAGGAAUACCGAUGGCGAAGGCAGCCAUCUGGCCUAAUACUGACACUGAGGUGCGAAAGCAUGGGGAGCAAACAGGAUUAGAAACCCCUGUAGUCC
rnacentral:rRNA from 1 species